GACGAACGCUGGCGGCGUGCUUAACACAUGCAAGUCGAACGGAAAGGCCCUGCUUUUGCGGGGUGCUCGAGUGGCGAACGGGUGAGUAACACGUGAGUAACCUGCCCUUGACUUUGGGAUAACUUCAGGAAACUGGGGCUAAUACCGGAUAGGAGCUCCUGCUGCAUGGUGGGGGUUGGAAAGUUUCGGCGGUUGGGGAUGGACUCGCGGCUUAUCAGCUUGUUGGUGGGGUAGUGGCUUACCAAGGCUUUGACGGGUAGCCGGCCUGAGAGGGUGACCGGCCACAUUGGGCCUGCGAUACGGCCCAGACUCCUACGGGAGGCAGCAGUGGGGAAUAUUGCACAAUGGGCGGAAGCCUGAUGCAGCAACGCCGCGUGCGGGAUGACGGCCUUCGGGUUGUAAACCGCUUUCGCCUGUGACGAAGCGUGAGUGACGGUAAUGGGUAAAGAAGCACCGGCUAACUACGUG
rnacentral:rRNA from 1 species